rnacentral:rRNA from 1 species
UACAGAGGGGCAAGCGUUGUCCGGAUUACUGGGCGUACAGCGCGCGCAGGCGGUUGCGUAUGUGAGCGGUGACAUCCGCGGGCUCAACCCGCGGCGGCCCGCUUACACAGCGCGACUGGAGGCAGGGAGAGGGAUGUGGAAUACCCGGUGGAGCGGUGAAAUGCGUAGAGAUCGGGUGGAACACCAGCGGCGAAGGCGGCGAUCCUGGCCCUGUACUGACGCUGAGGCGCGAUAGCGUGGGGAGCAAACAGG